CCAAGCUAUCCAUUCGCCGCCGCCACCAUCCACUCCCCCACCGUCCUCCGUCGCCUUCUCUCUGAAUCUUGGCGGUGGCGGCGACCGAGUGCGCUCGAGCCGGCGGCGGCGGCUCGCAUCCCCAUUCCGUCCUCCGCCCCCUCCUCUCUGAAUCUCGGCGGUGGCGGUGUCCGCGCGCGCUAGAGCCGGUGCCGGCGCCGGCGGCUCGCAUCCCCACUCGCAUUCCGUCCUUCGUCCCCCUCCUCUUUGAAUCUCGGCGGCGACCACGCAUGCUCAAGCCGCCGGCGGCGGCAGCGACCGCGCGCAGUCGAACCGGCGGUGGCGGCGGCGACCGUGCGCGCACUAGCUGGCGGCGGUGGCUAGCAUCCCCCCUCGGUACUCCGUUCUAGGAUCUGCAGGUUUGUCCACGGCGACGACGCCGCCGCUCUGGCGUGCGCUGCUAUGGACGCGGCCACCGCCGAACAGCAGCAGUGCCAGGAUUUCCUCCUCCGUUCCAAGAGCCGGUGCCUCGGCCCUGCUGCUUCCCGGCUUACCAUCCGCCCCCACCAAGUGCCUUAGCCUCUUGCUGCAGCAACAGCACAACGACAACCAAAGAGAAAUGUGGGGAUGGCAAAGUCAGGAAUGUGAUCUGCAGAAAGAUUUGCUUACUGAAGAUGCUGCAGAUCCAUCUAGCUGUUUGUGGAGUGAAGCAAAUCAGAAUGCCAGUGAUGCUUGGACCAUGUUCGAUUAGCAAACUCCAUCUAGCUGCUUGUACAUGUGUUUUUUUUAGGUUGCUGGGCUCAAACAUAUGUGAACUUUGAUGGAGAAGUGGCCAAAAUGCUUUGGUGGCUGCUGGGUAUUGUCAUGUGCUUUUGAACAGGUUUUAAUUAUGCUGUAUGAGAUAUGCUCAACAAACAUUAUGUUGUAUGAGAUGUGAAGGUUGUAAUGUGUUUUUAGAAUAUUUAUGUGCUGAUCUGAUGAUGAUGAUGAGAGAAUGUAAAUUGAUGAUCGGUAAUUAAUUUUGUUUAAAUUAUGGAUGAAAUAUUUGCAUUUUGCUAA